rnacentral:rRNA from 1 species
UACGAAGGGGGCUAGCGUUGCUCGGAAUCACUGGGCGUAAAGGGUGCGUAGGCGGCGCGGUAAGUCGGGUGUGAAAUCUCGGAGCUUAACUCCGAAACUGCAUUCGAUACUGCCGUGCUUGAGGACUGGAGAGGAGACUGGAAUUUACGGUGUAGCGGUGAAAUGCGUAGAUAUCGUAAGGAAGACCAGUGGCGAAGGCGGGUCUCUGGACAGUUCCUGACGCUGAGGCACGAGAGCGUGGGGAGCAAACAGG